AUUAUUUUGGCCUGAACAUAUUAUCCGAAACUUCACUAUUCCCUUAGUGAGCCCGUUUGUGCCUAAUUUGCUCCUUUUUGUUUGAUGAAAACUCACAUAUAUUGAGCCUUAGCCUGUUUUAGCCUGCUUUUGUCCCUUGAAAACAUGUGAAUGCACUAGAUUAUGACGAGAUGAGAAGAUGAGUACUCCUAUAAUUUUAGUGUGUUGAGAGAUAGUUCAUUGAUUCUAUGGGAUAUAUAUGCUGUUAAAAAAAAAAAAAAAAAAAAAUAGAGUUCUAUAAUAAAAUGCAUACGUUUUGAGGAUUGUGGAUAUGUUGAGGAGUUACUCUAGAGUUUUAUUGAUGGAAGGUCUGGUGUGUUGCAUGUUUUCAAUCAUAUAUUGAGCCUCUUUGAUCCCCUUUUUUCUUGUUUUAUCCCACCUGUACGUACCCUAGCCCCAUUACAACCAAAGUGCAAGACCUUUUGAUUUGUGCAUUGGUUCCAUAUUUUGGUGGAGAUAGUGACAUAACGGCAAGCUGUGUUUGAAGGCAUGAAGUUGUGAAUUGUGUGAAUCUAUUCUGUCCAUAUUUGUCUUUUGAGAGAAAUUGAGUGAACUUGGUGAGGCAGGAUUGAAUUUGCACAAUUUUGACUUGAAUGAAGAACAUGGCAUAAUUUUCUGAGCAAGAGCAUAGUUAGUGGUUUGUGAAUGAUUGUAUCUUGAUCAAGACUUUGAGUAUUAUCUAUCAUAUUGUUGCCAAAGCUUUGUUUUUGCUGUUUUGAGUCUUCUUUUGUUCCUUCCCUGUCGUUUUGUUCUUUUUGGUGCUCGAGGGCGAGCUUUGUUUAAGUGUGGGGGGAUUUUGGUGUUUAAUGAAACCAACACCUAAAACUACACGAUGAAACAGUAAACUAUACCUAUUGGAACUGAUCGGAAAGAGCGAAGUAGAAUGAUCGGAAACUUAAUACGAGAGAGAAAAAUGACUGUUGUAUUAAAAAUAUGAGAUAGCAUAAAAAAUAAUACACGAGCUCGGGCCCUAUUUAUAGAUUUACAAGCGGAGGGGUAAAAUAGUAAAAACAUCUUCGGUGCAUGCGUCCUGCGUGGUGGAAGGGUACGUUGGUAAUUUCGAUAAUACGCGGGAGACCUUCCCGCGCGUUUAUUGGCUCCUCUGAUGGAAGUGUCUUCUCUGGCGAAGGCGUCUUCUCUGGUGAUAUUGACAUCUCUGGCAUGAGGGAUUCCUCUGGUAAACACGUCUUCUCUGUCGUGAAGAACUCCCCUGGUAAACACGUCUUCUCUGGCAAGGGCGUCUCCUCUGGCGGUAAUGACUUCCCUGAUGGAGUUUGACUUUUCUGGCGCGGAUGAUUUCUCUGGAGGAGAGGGCUCCUCUGUCAAGAAUGACUUCUCUGGUGCGGAUGACUCCUCUGGCUAGAGUCAUUCCUCUGAUGGAUGAAAUCCUUCUGGUAUAAAUGGUUCUUCUGACCCAUACGGCUCCUCUGAUGAGAGUGGUUCCUCUGAUUUGUACUCUCUCCCUACUCUGCAUAUAUUGCUCCUCACCAACCACUCCCCCCUCUAGUCUGGUUGAACCGGGUAUUCUUCGUGUUCAACCAGUGGUGUGUUAUCAGCAUCAAAGCUUUGUUAUUUUCCUUGGCCCCUGUAAAUCAUAAAGACAUAAGCAUUUUGACAUUAUGAGUAGAAAUAAAAAGAAGCCCUGUAAAUUGUUCUCUGGCGUUUUGUUACUCCCUACCCCUGGUCUGGCUAGUUCACUCUGGAGAGAUGCAACUAGUCAGAGGACUCGCCCGCCGUGGAUGACGUCAUCCACAUUAAAUGUCUGCCCAGUCUACAGUAUUUUCCCCGUACCCCGAGGUUACUUUUUAACCUUCGCGUCCUUUCGCCUUUCCGUAAAAAUUCUCAUCCGUUGAUUUCUUCCGUAUGCCACGUGCCGUUCAUCCCGCGUGCUGGUGGUUACCCGCGUACAAUCUUACUUAGCCGAUUCGAACUCCCCUUUUUUCACUAUUCUUCUUCUCCAAGUUUUCCGAGCGAAUUUUCUGCAUUUUCCGGCGAUUUCCUCACUGUUCCGGCAUUCUCCCACGACCCUUCCGCUCCAGGUUUUACCGUCCAUCUUUUUCCGGUCUAGGUAACUCGCGUAUCCUCUUCACUGCAAUUUUAUAUUUAAUCGUAGUGUAGUGGUAUAACUGUUGGUGCUCUGAUUGAGCGUGCUAGAAACCCUAGGGUUGACAUCUCCCAUCAUGGCCUGCACCUCCGCCCCUCAACCCUCUCGCUCGCCCUCUCCUUCUGCCCAAGACCCUUCAUCUUCCUCCCCAUCGCGGCAAGAUCCUGAAAUCUUCCUUCCCCCUCUACUUCUGACGAAUCUCAAACUGCACCCCCUCCUUCUCCACCUAGGAAAAAAGGAAAAACCCCGCCAACCCCCCAAAAGUCUUCCCCAUCCCGCCUUAAUGUCGCAGAGGUGGAAAAAUUGAAAAACAAAUGUAGGCGUCCUGAAGGUUUAAAAUUCGAGGCCUUUUGUAAGGAUUCAACGCCUCCUGAAAGCCUUCGUCAUCCCAAGGUGAUAGUUGUUUGGAAAGCCCAAAUAGAUGCUGGUUUGAGACUCCCUCCCCCUACUCUGCUGGUUGAUGUUUGUAACUAUUUUCACAUCCCCUUUUUUCAAGUCGCUCCUUCUGCCAUUCGGAGAUUAUAUGCCUUUCAUGUUUUGUGCCGAGCUCACGGUGUUGGGGACACCGCCAAAUUGUUCUGUCAGACCCAGACCCUCCGCAUGCAGGGCAAUCCCCUGUAUAGCUUUGCUGCUCACCCGAAUAUCCUACCACCUUCCUUUCCUCUCUGAAUUCUUUCGAUAAGGGUUUCCUGAAGCAUUAUUGUUAUGUGCGCACCCUUUUCGGCACCUGGCGCGACUAUCACGUUUCGGAACUAGAAUGGCAUACAAGUCGCACUACUUAUAAGCCAGCCUCUCCCGAAGUCCCCUCCACUCGCGACCUGAGUAUUAUAGCUCAUCUUAAUGCUANGCACACAUGAAUAGCUCUAAUUGUUCUUUGAUGAGUGAUUGAUUCGAACUUCAAUGCCGAAUUUCUGGUUUGCCCUGUUGCCAUAGUCAAGACUGAGUUUGAGAAUUUAAUGCAUGAAAUGAUUAAGGCAUUUAGGAAUAACCAUUAUUUGGCCUGAACAUAUUAUCCGAACCUCACUAUUCCCUUAGUGAGCCCGUUUGUGCCUAAUUUGCUCCUUUUUGUUUGAUGAAAACUCACAUAUAUUGAGCCUUAGCCUGUUUUAGCCUGCUUUUGUCCCUUGAAAACAUGUGAAUGCACUAGAUUAUGACGAGAUGAGAAGAUGAGUACUCCUAUAAUUUUAGUGUGUUGAGAGAUAGUUCAUUGAUUCUAUGGGAUAUAUAUAGACUGUUAAAAAAAAAAAAAAAAAAAAAAAAAUUGAAAAACAAAAAAAUAAAAAAUAAAAAGAAAAAAAAAAGAAAAGAAAAAUAGAGUUCUAUAAUAAAAUGCAUACGUUUAGAGGAUUGUGGAUAUGUUGAGGAGUUACUCUAGAGUUUUAUUGAUGGAAGGUCUGGUGUGUUGCAUGUUUUCAAUCAUAUAUUGAGCCUCUUUGAUCCCCUUUUUCUUGUUUUAUCCCACCUGUACGUACCAUAGCCCCAUUACAACCAA
rnacentral:lncRNA from 1 species